rnacentral:rRNA from 1 species
UACGUAGGGUGCGAGCGUUAUUCGGAAUUACUGGGCGUAAAGUGUGCGCAGGCGGCCGCGCAAGUCGAGUGUGAAAUCCCCGAGCUUAACUUGGGAAUGGCAUUUGGGACUGCAAGGCUGGAGUGCGGCAGAGGAGACUGGAAUUCCUGGUGUAGCAGUGAAAUGCGUAGAUAUCAGGAGGAACACCGAUGGCGAAGGCAGGUCUCUGGGCUGACACUGACGCUCAUGCACGAAAGCGUGGGGAGCAAACAGG